UACGUAGGGAGCUAGCGUUGUUCGGAAUUACUGGGCGUAAAGCGCACGUAGGCGGAUCUUUAAGUCAGGGGUGAAAUCCUGGAGCUCAACUCCAGAACUGCCUUUGAUACUGAGGACCUUGAGUUCGGGAGAGGUGAGUGGAACUGCGAGUGUAGAGGUGAAAUUCGUAGAUAUUCGCAAGAACACCAGUGGCGAAGGCGGCUCACUGGCACGAUACUGACGCCGAGGUGCGAAAGCGUGGGGAGCAAACAGG
rnacentral:rRNA from 1 species